CUGGGAGUAUUCUUGCUGUUCUGGUUUUGUAAUAAUCAAGGCUAUAUUAAGACCAAGCCUGUGUCCCGAGACCUAGUUCCUUCCCUAGAACUGGUUUUGUAAAUGCUGGUGAUAAAC